AAAUUCUCAGGGUGGUACCUGGAGAGUUUUCAGUACCCUAACAGUCUCAGCUAUGGGAAGGAGAGUCAAGCAGAGGCCUACCCUUUCCAUUCCUAGCUUGGGCAGUGGCUAGCGAGUGGAAGGCAAUCUGCUACAAGU